UCUUGUAUGAUCUAGACUUUUAUCUGCAAGAAAAAAUAUAUUUAUGGAGCAAAACAUAUGUUUAUAUUGUGCUCUACAUCUUGAAAAGUGCACAGGUCUCAGCAGAAAAGUAUAUUUGUUUGUAUAAAGGGAAGAUGAUAUUUCAAAAUGAAACAUAAAUCGUAGUGGGUCAUUCAGACACAUUCUUGUAGAUUUGGGCCAAAGUUUAUGAUUUGUGGCACUUUUCCUAUUUUUAUUAACUCCCCUUGAUGCUCUUCAUUUAGGAAAUCACAAAGAGCUUAUCUAAGUUUACUUCCUGGAUUAUGCUGAAUUCAGAUUUCUACUCGGAUUUUGCAAAUUUUAGUAUAUAGAUACAAUGACAGUCGGAGAUUUUAUGCUAAAUGGGCGUGUGAUGCUUGGAUGUGUCCCUUCAAACCAAGUCCACGUUUAAAAUUUGCUGGAUAGCGGCAUUGUUUGGGAAAAUGCUCUGGCAGAAAAGAGUCUAAAAUGUGGAUAGACAUCAGAGUCUGACCUCUGUCUGUUUAUUUCCAUAAGUGAAGUUUGUAUCGACUGACUGAAGGAUCAGUGUUAAAGAAUAACACUUCAAUGAAAACAGGUGAGUCUCAUAAUAUUUUAUGUUUUAAUAUGACAUGUAAAAAAUUCAAGCUAUGCAAAAUAUGUGUUCACUUCCUUCUACAGAUUCCAAGACCAUACAGAGGUUAUUUUCUUAAAUAUUGGACAGACAUUUCUUAUUAUUUUACCAAGAUAAAACAUUAAGGCAUUUUUCCAUCAUUUUGGGAAUAUCAUGCACCAACACCAGUGGAAUUGGGAAAAUGCUCUCAGAAAUUGUCUCAUGUGGAAAUUUCAAAAUUACCAAAAUCUAUGUAAAGAUAUUUUUUGUGUAAAAUAUUCAUGGAUUAUAUUUCAGUAAUUGAGCAACACUAUAAAUGUUGUAAUAACCUAAAUAUAGAUAUAUACAAGUUUUCAAAACCAUUUUAAAACAUCAAACACCCAUAUAAGGUAACACAUUUGGGAAUUUCAUAUUCAGACUUGGGAAGAAACAUACUGUUUUCUUUGGGAUUACCUCCUUUUAUUGGAGGGAGAUUUAUAAUGGAAAAAGCCCUGAUUUUAGUUGUAAAUGACCAUUAGCAUGUUUUUUUAUGUUAUUUGUAAAAAUCAGAUAAAGACAUAUUUUCAUUUCAAAAUGUAUAUAUUUUUGUAAAUUUAUUUGUUUUGUUUUUCAGCUGUGGGUUGUUUCUUUUAAAAAUGACUGCUUGAUGAUAAAGUUUCAAACAACUAUGAAGUGAGUGGAUGUUCUAGAGAGACUAAUUCUUCAAAGAAUGAAUGAUCAUCAUCAUCCUUAUAUUGGAAUAAAAGGAAGGAAGUGACAGCUACAAUCAUGGUAAAAGUAAAUGCAGUCAGAAGACCUCUGGUAUCACCUGAAGAGCCAGCCUUCUCAAGAUUCUGUAUCAAAUAAAAAUAACAAAGACUGCUAAAAAGACUUCUUAUAACUUGCAAAUGUGCAGUCUGUGACAUAACUGUCUGAUCCAGGUAGUUAAGUGUUGACAAGAUGACAUUUCAUCUCUAUAGUUGAGGACACAAGUUUGAAAUGCAGUAUGUCAUUGUGAAGGCAAAAUGUUUAUGAAAAUAGUGUGUGUGUUUUCCAAAUAGAGAGGCUGAAAGUGGGGAAUCAUCAAUGAGUCUUUUUGGAAUAAGUUAUGGACAUCUAAAUAGUGAAGAUCUGUCCCUUUUUGGAUUGCCACAGACCAUAAUAAUGAUUGGUGCCUUUGACAUAAAUAGAAGAACUCACACUGGACA